rnacentral:lncRNA from 1 species
AAGACUAUACACCCGUAUCUUUCCAAAUAGGAAAUAUUACAUAUUCCCAAUAGUAGAUCUCUCUCUGGCGGAGACCUUAGAUUGAUCUUCGGAAUUUUAGGGUGGAGGAAUUGCGCCCUUUCCCAUUCCCGUGCUGUUUUGAUAGCUCUAGUUAGAGUUUCCCAUUCCAGUGACAAUCUACAAUCUUAUGGUUUCAUAAGUAAAUAGAAAAUAAGACAUUAAAUUAAUAAAUUAUAUUAAAGGGUAAUUCAAUUUACCAUUCUUUUUAAAAUUUAAUAUAUAUAUAUAUAUAUGCGAAUGCUAGAUUUUCCUUUUCUCCAAAAUCAUAAUAAACAUUUGAGCCACGCGGUACCUUACCGUGACAACUUUAAAGCGCCCCUCCAGAAUGAGCAGAUCUACAAUAA